UACGUAGGGUGCGAGCGUUGUCCGGAAUUAUUGGGCGUAAAGAGCUUGUAGGCGGUUUGUCGCGUCUGCUGUGAAAAUCCGGGGCUCAACCCCGGACUUGCAGUGGGUACGGGCAGACUAGAGUGUGGUAGGGGAGACUGGAAUUCCUGGUGUAGCGGUGAAAUGCGCAGAUAUCAGGAGGAACACCGAUGGCGAAGGCAGGUCUCUGGGUCACUACUGACGCUGAGAAGCGAAAGCAUGGGGAGCGAACAGGAUUAGAUA
rnacentral:rRNA from 1 species